AGAAUCAACGCUGGCGGCGUGCCUCAGACAUGCAAGUCGAACGCGAAAGUCCCCUUCGGGGGGCAAGUAGAGUGGCGCACGGGUGAGUAACACGUAGGUAAUCUACCUUCGGAAUGGGGAAUAACAAUCGGAAACGGUUGCUAAUACCGCAUAAAUGCAGCGGCACCUAAUGGUGACAGUUGUUAAAGCGGGGGAUCGAAAGACCUCGCGUCUGAAGAGGAGCCUGCGGCGGAUUAGCUAGUUGGUAAGGUAACGGCUUACCAAGGCGACGAUCC
rnacentral:rRNA from 1 species